rnacentral:sRNA from 1 species
UUGUCGACGGCCUAUAUUUUUUUGACGC